rnacentral:rRNA from 1 species
GGUUUUUUCUUAAGCGGAGUGGCGGACGGGUGGGUAACACGUGGGGAACCUAUCUAUCAGCGGGGGAUAACACUUGGAAACAGGUGCUAAUACCGCAUAUGGCUUUUUUUCACCUGAAAGAAAGCUCAAAGGCGCUUUACAGCGUCACUGAUGGCUGGUCCCGCGGUGCAUUAGCCAGUUGGUGAGGUAACGGCUCACCAAAGCAACGAUGCAUAGCCGACCUGAGAGGGUGAUCGGCCACACUGGGACUGAGACACGGCCCAGACUCCUACGGGAGGCAGCAGUAGGGAAUCUUCGGCAAUGGACGCAAGUCUGACCGAGCAACGCCGCGUGAGUGAAGAAGGUUUUCGGAUCGUAAAGCUCUGUUGUCAGCAAAGAACAGGAGAAAGAGGAAAUGCUUUUUCUAUGACGGUAGCUGACCAGAAAGCCACGGCUAACUACGUGCCAGCAGCCGCGGUAAUACGUAGGUGGCAAGCGUUGUCCGGAUUUAUUGGGCGUAAAGCGAGCGCAGGCGGUGAUUUAAGUCUGAUGUUGAAAGCCCCCAGGCUCAACUGGGGGAGGGUCAUUGGGAAACUGGGAUCACAUUGAGUGCAGAAGAGGGAGAGUGGAAAUUCCAUGURGUAGCGRUGAAAUGCGUAGAUAUAUGGAGGAACACCAUUGGCAAAGGCGGCUCUCUGGUCUGUAACUGACGCUGAGACUUCAAACUCGUAGCAAACAAACAGGAUUAAUAUACCCUGAUAGUCCUCGCCC